rnacentral:misc_RNA from 1 species
GAUCAUUACCGAGUUAGGGUUGCUCCGCAGCCCGACCUCCCAACCCUUUGUCUAAUUUACCUUGUCGUUGCUUCGGCGGACCGGUUGACCAACUGGUCUUGACCGCCGGGGGGUUCGUCCCCUGGAGAGCGUCCGCCGACGGCCCAACCACAAACUCUUGUACCAAACCAUGUCGUCUGAAUUACUUGAUUAAAAUCAAAAAACAAAACUUUCAACAACGGAUCUCUUGGUUCUGGCAUCGAUGAAGAACGCAGCGAAAUGCGAUAAGUAAUGCGAAUUGCAGAAUUUCCGUGAGUCAUCGAAUCUUUGAACGCACAUUGCGCCCACUGGUAUUCCGGUGGGCAUGCCUGUUCGAGCGUCAUUAUCCUCCCUCAAACCCCGUGUUUGGUGUUGGGCCCGCGUUCCUGCGAAGGAACUGGCCUCAAAGACAAUGACGGCGUCCGCGGGACCCUCGGUGCAACGAGCUUUCAGGAGCACGCGCCGAGUUUCAAGGCCCCCCCGGGCCGGUCUAACCCUUUUUUUUUACUUAUAAGGUUGACCUCGGAUCAGGUAGGAAUACCCGCUGAACUUAAGCAUAUCAAUAAG